rnacentral:rRNA from 1 species
GUGUCAGCAGCCGCGGUAAAACGUAGGGGACAAGCGUUAUCCGGAUUUACUGGGCGUAAAGCGCCCGUAGGCGGCUUUUUAAGUUGGACGUGAAAGCUCCCGGCUUAACUGGGAGAGGCCGUUCAAAACUGAGAGGCUAGAGUGAGGCAGAGGAGCGCGGAAUUCCCGGUGUAGUGGUGGAAUGCGUAGAUAUCGGGAGGAACACCAGUGGCGAAAGCGGCGCUCUGGGCCUAAACUGACGCUGAGGGGCGAAAGCGUGGGGAGCGAACGGGAUUAGAAACCCCCGUAGUCC